GAUGGCAUCACUGACUCUAUGGACGUGAGUCUGAGUGAACUCUGAGAGAUGGUGAUGGACAGGGAGGCCUGGCGUGCUGCGAUUCAUGGGGUCGCAAGGAGUCGGACAUGACUGGGGAACUGAACUGAAAUGAUAUGAUAAUUUAAGCAUUCUUUGACAUUGCCUUUCUUUGGGAUUGGAGUGAAAACUGACCUUUUCCAGUCCAGUGUCCACUGCUGAGUUUUCCAAAUUUAUUGGCGUAUUGAGUGCAGCUCUUCAGUAGCAGCAUAUUUCAGGAUUUCAUUUAUUAUGUAUUCCAUGAAAACAGGGACCUUGUCUGCUUUGAUCACUGCUCAGUAUCCAGCAUUUGCUGUGUUCCUGAUAGUAUAUACAGAUGAUGAUAUUUAGAUUUCAGAAUACACAAGAGGGUUUUGUAAUUCUCUGCAGGUAGGAAAUCUCUAGCCACUGAUGUUUGUGUCAUUUUGCAAGACUCUGAGGUACAGCAAUGCUAUAGUCUACCAAUAGAUUACAAAGACUUCAGAUUAAAGUGACUUCAGAUUCUGAUGAAGGCGAGGUUAAUACUUUGAAUCUGCUUAUGUUAGAGAUAGCCUGUAGUUUAACAUAAAUAUUACAUUUUGAAAAUGAACAAAAACACUUAGUUGAUUGUAGUAGCACUUGGAAUGGUGGAUUCAUGUAUAUAUAUGUAAUAUUGAAUUAAAGAAAAGACCCUAAUCAUCUGAGUAUAAACAUUGAAAAUGGUGCAAAAUGAAGAAAGCAGGGGUGGGGGUGCAUAAAACAGACACUUGAGAAAUUUUUCAAGCAUGAUUCUUUGUCUUCUUGAACUCCGAUUUAAACGUUGCUUAGCAACAGUGGCAGUAACAGCUGGGACACCCUUGAUCUUGUUGUGUAAACUAUUAAAAAUAGGUGAUGGAAAGUGGCACCAUGGAAACAAUGACUCUACUGAAGCAGGUGUCUGUAAUGCUGCUUUUCAAUUUAAUGUUGGAGGUGUAAAUUACAAAAGAAAAAAGAAACUGAUCUUUAAUUCUCUUGGACUUUAACAGAUCUAUUUCUUGAUUUUGUAUUGUUCUUGCAAUUUCCCAAGAACAUUGGUUC
ensembl:lncRNA